rnacentral:rRNA from 1 species
UAAUACGGAGGGUGCGAGCGUUGUCCGGAAUCAUUGGGCGUAAAGGGCGCGUAGGUGGCUUCUUAAGCGUGCGGUGAAAGCCUGGGGCUCAACCCCGGGUCGGCCGUGCGAACUGGGGGGCUGGAGCACUGUAGAGGCAGGCGGAAUUCCGGGUGUAGCGGUGGAAUGCGUAGAGAUCCGGAAGAACACCGGUGGCGAAGGCGGCCUGCUGGGCAGUUGCUGACACUGAGGCGCGACAGCGUGGGGAGCAAACAGG